rnacentral:misc_RNA from 1 species
GAUGAAGAACGCAGUGAAAUGCGAUACGUAGUGUGAAUUGCAGAAUUCAGUGAAUCAUCGAAUCUUUGAACGCACAUUGCACCUCUCGGUAUUCCGGGAGGUAUGCCUGUUCGAGCGUCAUUUGUACCCUCAAGCUCUGCUUGGUGUUGGGUGUUUGUUCCGCCUCUGUGUGUGAACUCGCCUCAAAACAAUUGGCAGCCGGCGUACUUGUUUCGGAGCGCAGCACAUUUUGCGAUCCAGAUCAACGUACAGCGGCAUCCAAGAAGCCUUAUUUAACGCUCUUGACCUCGGAUCAGGUAGGGAUAACCGCUGAACUUAAGCAUAUCAAUAAGCGGAGGA